CAGCCGCGGUAAUACGGAGGGUGCAAGCGUUAAUCGGAAUUACUGGGCGUAAAGCGCACGCAGGCGGUCUGUCAAGUCAGAUGUGAAAUCCCCGGGCUUAACCUGGGAACUGCAUUUGAAACUGGCAGGCUAGAGUCUUGUAGAGGGGGGUAGAAUUCCAGGUGUAGCGGUGAAAUGCGUAGAGAUCUGGAGGAAUACCGGUGGCGAAGGCGGCCCCCUGGACAAAGACUGACGCUCAGGUGCGAAAGCGUGGGGAGCAAACAGGAUUAGAUACCCGUGUAGUCCCUGUCUCUUAUACACC
rnacentral:rRNA from 1 species